rnacentral:tRNA from 1 species
UUCCCCGUGGCGCAAUGGUUAGCGCGUUCGACUGUUAUCGUUUCAUCUUCUAAUUCUUGGUUUCAACCAUCGAAGUCUUUGAAGGAAAUGCAAUCGAGAGGUUGACAGUUCAACCCUGUCCGGGGAAA